UACGUAGGUCGCAAGCGUUGUCCGGAUUUACUGGGCGUAAAGGGCGCGUAGGCGGCGCGGUAAGUCACUUGUGAAAUCUCUGAGCUUAACUCAGAACGGCCAAGUGAUACUGCAGUGCUAGAGUGCAGAAGGGGCAAUCGGAAUUCUUGGUGUAGCGGUGAAAUGCGUAGAUAUCAAGAGGAACACCUGAGGUGAAGACGGGUUGCUAGGCUGACACUGACGCUGAGGCGCGAAAGCGUGGGGAGCAAACAGG
rnacentral:rRNA from 1 species